rnacentral:lncRNA from 1 species
CGUGAUCGUGGGGUGCUGCCGCGACUGCCGGCCGUGCAAGGCCAACGUCGAGCAGUACUGCAACAAGAAGAUCUGGUCGUACAACGACGUCUACACCGACGGCAAGCCGACGCAGGGCGGCUUCGCCUCCGCCAUGGUCGUCGAUCAGAAGUGAGUUCUGUUUUACUACUACUACUACUAGUACUAUUCUUGCUAGCAAAGCCAUUGCACCCAUCAGUGUCAUCUGUUAGAUCUACCGAAAAGGACAUAUGGUGGUAGGACUUUUUCGAUGUGGUUGGAUCAAAUCACUGUCGAGAAAUGGUUGUAGUGGAAAAGAAGGAUGCGAGGCUGCUAUCUGAAACUUAAAAAGGUGUGGCGCGUGCGGAGAGAAUCAGAUAAGGGUUGGUGUGCAUGCUGUGCUUGGGCUACUUUUCCUUGUGGGAUUGUGAGCAGCCAGCGGCAGUGCGAUGAGAAAAGGACGUACUAGUAGGUUUUCGUUUCUUUGAAGCAGACUAGCGUGCUCAUGAUUCGUCAGUCAUCACCUGCUGGGAGAAUCGCUUGGCUACUUCUACGUUCUACCCAUGCAGUUUGAUCCAUAGCGACGUUGCUUUGACACCGAUGGUAAUGACACCUUAGGGAGUUGGUAUACGUAGCAUUCUAAGAGUAUCUACCGUGUCAAAGUCUGAUCGGUUCAGCUCAGUGUCGUCCGUCCAAGUUGGUAGCAUUCUAAGGGCAUGGCCAUCGCGUCGCCUCAGACCUACUGCCCUAGGGUCCAGCUAGGUUCGGAUGCCACGGUGGUGAUGCAGGUGCUGCUUGCAGACCACAGGUGCAGCUUGCAGAGGAGACGGCUUCUUCGGCUGGGAAAGUGGAAAAAGUUCAGAGAGAGAGAGAAAUAGGGGAGGAAAAGGAGAUAUGGGGACCUUUGCUGCUCCCACCCUCUGUGCUGCAUGGUAGAUGGCUGACGCUGCGUAGGUCCCACUAGAUGGUAGCUUCCGUUGGACAAUAGAAAAAAUUAUGUGGUGGUUUUAGAUAUUUAUGUCUAGAUGGACUAUGGGGCAGCACCAAACGGGUGCUUCCAUUGUACAUGCCCUAAGAGUAUCUACCGUGUCAAAGUCUGAUCGGUUCAGCUCAGUGUCGUCCGUCCAAGUUGGUGGCCAACACUUACGUCGGCGUGAUGUAACGAUAUUGGCAUUGGAAUCAGUCAAGUGAACGCAUAUAUUUAUGAAAAUUAUUAAGUUGUGUUGCAUUUGGUCGUGUGCAGGUUCGUGGUGAAGAUCCCGGCCGGGCUGGCGCCGGAGCAGGCGGCGCCGCUGCUGUGCGCGGGCGUGACGGUGUACAGCCCGCUGAAGCACUUCGGGCUCAUGACCCCCGGCCUCCGCGGCGGCAUCCUGGGCCUGGGCGGCGUGGGCCACAUGGGCGUGAAGGUGGCCAAGUCCAUGGGCCACCACGUGACGGUGAUCAGCUCGUCCAACAAGAAGCGGGCCGAGGCCAUGGACGACCUGGGCGCCGACGCGUACCUCGUCAGCUCCGACGCCGACCAGAUGGCCGCCGCCGCCGACUCGCUGGACUACAUCAUCGACACGGUGCCCGCGAAGCACCCGCUGGAGCCCUACCUGGCGCUGCUCAAGAUGGACGGCAAGCUGGUGCUGAUGGGCGUGAUCGCGGAGCCGCUCAGCUUCGUGUCCCCCAUGGUGAUGCUGGGGAGGAAGACCAUCACGGGGAGCUUCAUCGGGAGCAUGGACGAGACGGAGGAGGUGCUCCAGUUCUGCGUCGACAAAGGGCUCACCUCGCAGAUCGAGGUCGUCAAGAUGGACUACGUCAACCAGGCGUUCGAGAGGCUCGAGCGCAACGACGUCCGCUACCGCUUCGUCGUCGACGUCGGCGGGAGCAACAUCGAGGACGCCGCCUGAUCGAUGACGGCCGGGAAAAAGAGAGAGCUAGACCGAGCGGCGAGUGCAAUGACAGUAUCAUGUGUGCCCGUGCCAUUUGCCUGUACUUGAUGCAGUACAUGUUCGUGACCUGUUUCCGUUUUCUAUCAGAGUUGCGCGCGUUCGUUUCGGUGGAGAUGCAUGUUUUGCUGUUAAUCCGGCCUUAAGGACUAUGAUAUAUGUAUGGAGUUAUCUCUACUCUUAAUGUCUGAGUUGGUUGAAUAGUACGGUUUAUUUUUAUCCCAUCACUUUCAACCGCUUUAUUUCAUUGGUUUUUUU